UACCAGCACCCCGAGUGGUCGGGACGUUUAUUGGGCCUAAAGCAUCCGUAGCCGGUUCUACAAGUCUUCCGUUAAAUCCACCUGCUUAACAGAUGGGCUGCGGAAGAUACUAUGGAGCUAGGAGGCGGGAGAGGCAAGCGGUACUCGAUGGGUAGGGGUAAAAUCCGUUGAUCCAUUGAAGACCACCAGUGGCGAAGGCGGCUUGCCGGAACGCGCUCGACGGUGAGGGAUGAAAGCUGGGGGGAGCAAACCGG
rnacentral:rRNA from 1 species